GAUGAACGCUAGCGGGAGGCCUAACACAUGCAAGCCGAGCGGUAUUAUUUCUUCGGAAAUGAGAGAGCGGCGUACGGGUGCGGAACACGUGUGCAACCUGCCUUUAUCUAGGGGAUAGCCUUUCGAAAGGAAGAUUAAUACCCUAUAAUAUAUUUUUUGGCAUCGAAAGAUAUUGAAAACUCCGGUGGAUAGAGAUGGGCACGCGCAAGAUUAGCUAGUUGGUGAGGUAACGGCUCACCAAGGCAAUGAUCUUUAGGGGGCCUGAGAGGGUGAUCCCCAACACUGGUACUGAGACACGGACCAGACUCCUACGGGAGGCAGCAGUGAGGAAUAUUGGUCAAUGGGUGCAAGCCUGAACCAGCCAUCCCGCGUGAAGGACGACUGCCCUAUGGGUUGUAAACUUCUUUUGUAUAGGGAUAAACCUACCCUCGUGAGGGUAGCUGAAGGUACUAUACGAAUAAGCACCGGCUAACUCCGUGCCAGCAGCCGCCGCCG
rnacentral:rRNA from 1 species